rnacentral:rRNA from 1 species
AACGAACGCUGGCGGCAGGCUUAACACAUGCGAGUCGAACGCGUGCAGCAAUGCACGAGUGGCGCACGGGUGAGUAACGAGUGGAUAUCUGCCUUUUGGUUCGGAAUAACCCCGGGAAACUGGGGCUAAUACCGGAUGGUUCCUACGGGAUAAAGAUUUAUCGCCAAAAGAUGAGUCCGCGUCCGAUUAGCUAGUUGGUGAGGUAAUGGCUCACCAAGGCGACGAUCGGUAGCUGGUCUGAGAGGACGAUCAGCCACACUGGGACUGAGACACGGCCCAGACUCCUACGGGAGGCAGCAGUGGGGAAUAUUGGACAAUGGGGGCAACCCUGAUCCAGCCAUGCCGCGUGAGUGAUGAAGGCCUUCGGGUUGUAAAGCUCUUUUGGCGGGGACGAUGAUGACGGUACCCGCAGAAUAAGCCCCGGCUAACUUCGUG